rnacentral:rRNA from 1 species
GACGAACGCUGGCGGCGUGCCUAAUACAUGCAAGUAGAACGAGUUGCGAACGGGUGAGUAACGCGUGGUAACCUGCCUCAUAGAGGGGGAUAACUAUUGGAAACGAUAGCUAAUACCGCAUACCAUCAGAUGUGCCCAGAUGGGAUUAGCUAGUAGGUGGGGUAACGGCUGACCUAGGCGACGAUCCCUGGCUGGUCUGAGAGGAUGACCAGCCACACUGGAACUGAGACCCGGUCCAGACUCCUACGUGAGGCAGCAGUGGGGAAUAUUGCACAAUUGGCGCAAGCCUGAUGCAGCCAUGCCGCGUGUAUGAAGAAGGCCUUCGGGUUGUAAAGUACUUUCAGCGGGGAGGCGUUACCCGCAGAAGAAGCACCGGCUAACUCCGUGCCAGCAGCCGCGGUAAUAC